rnacentral:rRNA from 1 species
GACAGAGGGGGCAAGCGUUGCUCGGAAUCACUGGGCGUAAAGGGCGCGUAGGCGGGAUGGCAAGUCAGUCGUGAAAUCUCUCGGCUCAACCGAGAAACGUCGGCUGAUACUGCCGUUCUUGAGGGAUGCAGAGGAGACUGGAAUUCCCGGUGUAGCGGUGAAAUGUGUAGAGAUCGGGAGGAACACCGGUGGCGAAGGCGACUCUUUGGCCUGUAACUGACGCUGAGGCGCGAAAGCGUGGGGAGCAAACAGG